CCCAUACCCGUACCCACACCCUUGUACGCGUCUUCUUCUUCUUCUUCUAGCUGAAAACCCAGAAAUCCACCAAAAAUACCACACUACCUUGCAGAACCCAUACCUAGUAGCCUCAACGUCAAAUCCUCAAGUCUCCUUUUGCCCCUUUUUAGGGAUUUCCAGAUCUCUUCACUGUUGCCUUUAAAAAAGAGCAAAGAAAUUCAAAUUUCAACUUCUAUUUCCCCCUCUUUCAACCCCAAUCUCAGCCUAUAAAUAUCUAUUUCUUUCAAUGUUUAGGAAAGAUAAAGUUUUAGAAAGGAUUGGAGAAAAGAAGCACAACAAUUGCUUACUAAAUAUUUAUGAAUGGAUUUCUGUUUUCUCUCUGGUUUGCCCCCUAACUGAAAUUCUCUGGAGCUCAUCGGAGCUCACAUGUGGUGGUGUAUAGCUUCACGGUCAAUCUCGGAGUCUCACCACGCUGCCCGAAAAAGACUCUAUCUGCUCGCCUUGCCAUUCAAUGAUUGGGACAUGGAGGCCUAAUUUACUUUUAUCGAGUCAGCCAGCCUUGAGGAAUCGAAGAACAAGUCUUUUAAGUUGAAGAAAAGGUCUCGGAAAGUAGAAAAAUGAGUUGUAUACAUCCGAUAUACUUUGAUAUAUAUCAUAUGUAUACAAAAAGGGGAAUUGGGUCAAAACCCAAAAAUUCCAGCAAAUUGGCCCAAAAAGGGGGCCCAAAUUCAAUCUCUCCAUUUCUCUUAACCCAUUUAAUUGUGUGGUUAUUUAUUACUUUGUUGUGUACUAACUCUAACUUUAGAACGAUAAAUUUCCAAAAGAUGAACGAGAUUCUUUAUGUUGGUUUAUUUAAAUAUAAUUCACUUUUAUCAA